rnacentral:rRNA from 1 species
UACGUAGGGGGGCUAGCGUUGUCCGGAAUCAUUGGGUGUAAAGCGCGUGUAGGCGGCCCGAUAAGUCCGCUGUGAAAGUCCAGGGCUCAACCCUGGGAUGCCGGUGGAUACUGUCGGGCUCGAGUCCGGAAGAGGCGAGUGGAAUUCCUGGUGUAGCGGUGAAAUGCGCAGAUAUCAGGAGGAACACCAAUGGCGAAGGCAGCUCGCUGGGGACGGUACUGACGCUGAGGCGCGAAAAGCGUGGGGGAGCAAAACAGG